rnacentral:rRNA from 1 species
UGGGGAAUAUUGCGCAAUGGGGGGAACCCUGACGCAGCCAUGCCGCGUGAAUGAAGAAGGCCUUAGGGUUGUAAAGUUCUUUCGGUAUUGAGGAAGGUUGAUGUGUUAAUAGCACAUCAAAUUGACGUUAAAUACAGAAGAAGCACCGGCUAACUCCGUGCCAGCAGCCGCGGUAAUACGGAGGGUGCGAGCGUUAAUCGGAAUAACUGGGCGUAAAGGGCACGCAGGCGGUUAUUUAAGUGAGGUGUGAAAGCCCCGGGCUUAACCUGGGAAUUGCAUUUCAGACUGGGUAACUAGAGUACUUUAGGGAGGGGUAGAAUUCCACGUGUAGCGGUGAAAUGCGUAGAGAUGUGGAGGAAUACCGAAGGCGAAGGCAGCCCCUUGGGAAUGUACUGACGCUCAUGUGCGAAAGCGUGGGGAGCAAACAGGAUUAGAUACCCUGGUAGUCCACGCUGUAAACGCUGUCGAUUUGGGGGUUGGGGCUUAACUCUGGCGCCCGUAGCUAACGUGAUAAAUCGACCGCCUGGGGAGUACGGCCGCAAGGUUA